CUCAAAGGAAUUGACGGGGACCCGCACAAGUGGUGGAGCAUGUGGUUUAAUUCGAAGAUACGCGAAAAACCUUACCUGGCCUUGACAUUGAUAGAAUCCCGCAGAGAUGCAGGAGUGCCCUUCGGGGAGCUUGAAAACAGGUGCUGCACGGCUGUCGUCAGCUCGUGUCGUGAGAUGUCGGGUUAAGUCCCGCAACGAGCGCAACCCUCGUCCUUAGUUGCCAGCAGGUUAAGCUGGGCACUCUAGGGAGACUGCCUUCGCAAGGAGGAGGAAGGUGAGGACGACGUCAAGUCAUCAUGGCCCUUACGGCCAGGGCUACACACGUGCUACAAUGGGGCGUACAGAGUGUUGCAAUACCGCGAGGUGGAGCCAAUCACUUAAAGCGUCUCUCAGUUCGGAUUGUUCUCUGCAACUCGAGAACAUGAAGCUGGAAUCACUAGUAAUCGUAGAUCAGCAUUGCUACGGUGAAUACGUUCCCGGGUCUUGUACUCACCGCCCGUCACACCAUGGGAGUUGAUUUCACCCGAAAUUGGGAAGCUAACCUUCGGGAGGCUACCACUUACGGUGGAAUUAGCGACUGGGGUGAAGUCGUAACAAGGUAACCGUAGGAGAACCUGCGGUUGGAUCACCUCCUUUCUAGAGUAAAGUCAAUCAUUCAUUUGAAUUGACAUACAAAGAAAAUCUCACAAGAGAUAGUAUUUAGUCUUUACUUGCUUAGUUUUCAGUGAUCUGCGUUCAUUUGAAAUAUUGAAAUGGGAAUUACUCACUGGGANACGCUGCCUGCACGCAGAGUCACG
rnacentral:rRNA from 1 species